UUUUUGAGGACCGUAUCACUGACCAGGUCACUUAGAGUCCUACCCUGAAGGGCGAGGCGAUAUCCUGCGGGCAGCGCCACAAGGGGGCACCUUAGAAGGUGUACUGAGCCUGACAGGGAAAGGUAGACCAAACAGCUCAUUUAGGUGUUAGGUAUCCCUGAUUCCACCUGGGGGAAUCAUUCUACGACCUCCGUUGGA